rnacentral:rRNA from 1 species
GUGAGGAAUAUUGCGCAAUGGAGGCAACUCUGACGCAGCCAUGCCGCGUGCAGGAAGAAGGCGCUACGCGUUGUAAACUGCUUUUAACCGGGAAGAAACCCCAGGACGUGUCCUAGGUUGACGGUACCGGAGGAAUAAGCACCGGCUAACUUCGUGCCAGCAGCCGCGGUAAUACGAAGGGUGCAAGCGUUAUCCGGAUUCAUUGGGUUUAAAGGGUGCGUAGGCGGAGCGUUAAGUCAGUGGUGAAAUCCUGCAGCUUAACUGUAGACUUGCCAUUGAUACUGGCGCUCUUGAGUGCGCUUGAAGUGGGCGGAAUGUGCCGUGUAGCGGUGAAAUGCUUAGAUAUGGCACAGAACACCAAUUGCGAAGGCAGCUCACUAAGGCGAUACUGACGCUGAGGCACGAAAGCGUGGGGAUCGAACAGGAUUAGAUACCCCAGUAGUCC